rnacentral:rRNA from 1 species
GACAGAGGGUGCGAACGUUGUUCGGAAUUACUGGGCGUAAAGCGCGUGUAGGCGGCUCGAUAAGUCGGCUGUGAAAGCCCUGGGCUCAACCUAGGAAGUGCAUUCGAAACUGCUGAGCUUGAGUUCUGGAGAGGAAGGCGGAAUUCUCGGUGUAGAGGUGAAAUUCGUAGAUAUCGAGAGGAACACCGGUGGCGAAGGCGGCCUUCUGGACAGCAACUGACGCUGAGACGCGAAAGCGUGGGGAGCAAACAGG